CAAUUCUUCGAUGAACGCAAACUAUUCAUUAUUAAUUGUGUUUGAUAUGAACAGCGUUAAGCUUCACACUUGUUUUAUGGGUCACAUCGAAUUGUGUAAAUAUGGUGUGAUGAACCGCAUCAGCCUUCUUUCGUUUAUUAAUUUAUUUAUAUCACCUAUGUUGUGAAAAUUAUAUUCAUUUAUUCAUGCAUAUGUAUGUAGAUUCGCUUGAUUGUUGUGAAAUUUUUCAAUUCCAUUGUAUGAGUCGGAAACAAAUUUUGGAGAUUAUUGUGCGCUAAUCUUUUCAGUAAACCAGUUUUACGCUUAAUUAUAGAUGUGUUUAAGACGUCUGCAGAAAUGUAUACUUGUAUAAGUAUACUCAUGUAUGGAUCGUCAUACAUACGAAGUCAUGCCUUAGUUACAGCAUGAGUAUGUGUGUUUUGAACAAAUUCCCACUAUUAUAUCCGGUGACAACGCUGAUUUUUAGAAAUUCUGUACAUAUGUUAUUAUUUUUACAUAUUUUUUGGAUAUUAUUUAUAUACAGAUGGGAUAAAUAUAGCACAAUACUGCCUAUACCCGAAAAUUAGUAGAAUCAUUAUUAGGUAUUGCGCAAUUCGAUGCUUAAUUCGCAGUCAAAUUAUUAUAGCAGAGAUACUUAGUUGACUUCGAGUGAUAUAAGAACCACACAUGUCGACUAUUGAUAUUUAAGAGGAAUUAUGAAAGCAAUUACAUAAGCGCCCCAGUAGCGGUGUUAACAGCUCACUGUCUGUUUGGGAGACACGCCAGCAGACUGGAGUUAUCCUGCAAUGAUUACUGCAGCAGCUGUCAAGUAGUAGAAGAACCUAAAACUAUAACACACCUGCUAUGCGGAUGUAAGGCGCUGUAGGAAAAUAAUCGCAACGGACGCGGUUUCCUCGAUGAUGUGGCGGAUGUUGCACAUAUCAAACUAUGCGAAUUAUUUAAUUUUCUGAAGACAAGUGUAAAAUACACUUACCUAUAACAGCUGUUUGUGUCAGUGCCGCCGGUACCAACAGCAUUGUAACCAACAAAAACAAUAGUAUACUGCGUACUGUUAGUGUUUUACAACUGGAAAUCCUGUGUGUUGUUGGACUUGCUUUGGCUGGGAAAUGUGACAAUUCAUGGUUAGACAUCUUCGCUUGCUGCCGCGGCCAACGCGCCCGAAUGUGCAUCGAUCCACAUCUACGGCGCAGAUGCAACAUAUCACGCAAUUGCGUUAAUUUUUUGCGAUUUUCGUUGUCAAUGCUGGUUGUAGCCAGGCUUAUUGCGUCUGCAAACAAAAAUAUACUUAGAUACGACAACUACAUACAGUGGAACUUCCAUAACUCGAACUUCUAUAAAUCGAAGAUCUCCAUAACUCGAACACUUGAAUUGGCAAUAAUGUUUAGAAGCUAAAUUUCAUACCAAUUUCCUUCCCUAACUCGAAGUUCUCCAUACCUCGAACUCUUGAAUUGGCAAUAGAAGUUAAAUUACAUACAAAUUUCCAUCUAUAAAUCGAACUUUUUGAUAAGGGUAUAAUACAAAAUUUAAAAUUUUACUAUCGAGACAGAAUUUUAAAAGAGUCCCUCUAUAUUGUACGGAUGCGAACAAAAAAUAUGAUAUUACACUUAUGGAUUGCAUAAAUCAUCUAACAAAGGCAUGGGAUAUGGACGUCAAGAGCCAAACAAUAGCAAAUUGUAACAAACGAAAUUAAACAAUACAUGUUUUAACGUAUUUAAAUAAAAACUUUUGCGAAGUAAAUAAUCAAAA